ACCUAAAAAUAACAUUAACUUUAUUUUCAUAAUUAAACAUUGAUCAUGUGCAUUCUAUGUGUGCAUGUGCAAUGGUUCUAUUUCAAUGUCUUGUUUCUUAAAAGGAAUCGCACUGGAGAAGCACUUCUAUUAUUUUAGGACUACAAAGAUACAUUUAAUUACCAGAACCGAACGGAUGCCAAAGCUGGACUUCAUGUCUCACAAAUUGGUGAAAAUUGUCCAUCAUUUUUCCGGUUUUUUCAUAUCUUCGAUUCUCCGUGUUAAGUUUGUUUUGACGCUCUUUGACCUCGUUCAUGAGGUUCUUCCAACUGUUUUCCAAAGAAACUAUCGUAAGCCGAAUGUAUGGGUUACCAGGAGUGUUGAUGCUGUAGUAGUCUUAGAACUUCGUGUCGACCAUCUCCACUUCGAUUAAAUCGUCAUGGAUUCUGGCCAUUUUCGACAGAAGCUACAAGAACCUUCUGUGAAGCUCUUUUUAAAAUCUACUUCCGCUUUCUCGAACCACGGAUGCAAGGCGAUCGCUUUCUUGCUAAGGUCUUUAUAGUUUAGUCGUGUCUAAAACUGUUUCACAGCUAUAAUAUGCAUACGUACAAAGACGUACGUUUGACAAAUCCGACAACUUCUAAUGUUCAUAGCUUCUACUGCGCCGGCGGUGAAUCUGCUAUUGAACUCAGUCUGCUUCUAAGAUACACCUAAAUUGACGAUAGGAAUCUACCGGAAUGUUGGCCGUUUGUUUAAGUUUCUCUUUCUGCAAACCCUUUCCUUAUAAGGUCAUUUGACAAUUUCACAAAAAUUACGGAAAUAGCCGGCUUUCGAAUUAUAGCUAAUCGCUCCAUUUUUCGCCUAUUCUUUCAUUAUCUCCUCGGAGAUUGUUACUAGAUAACUAUGUGAGGUCGUCAUGCUGGUGCGCUCAUAAGCUGUCAACCGCAUCGUCUAAUAAGUAUAACUUAAGCACCGAACUAAUGAGUUGAUCACUUUACUAGCUCCGGGCAUACAUGAGUACAGAGGAUGCGUCUCUCUUCUAUCUCGCCUAAAAACACCCAAUUAACAAAAAUUGUCUCUCUUCAUUUACGCAAGGGCUUCAAUUAGAAGCCCUUAGAGAUAGAAGAAUAGCUGCCUUGUACUUCGUGACAUAGACCAAUAUGUAAAUAUGACACUCAGAUCUGUUUGUCUUUCUUAUUUGGCGUCCAACUUAAAGUAGGACUGACAGAUCACAGAGAACCAUAUUGCUAAUUUAUCUGAAAUAUUCAGAACAGACUCCGUUGUGUGCCAACAUAGGCGUUUCACGCAUUGAUAAUAUCCCAGCUUCUAAUGAACGGCUUGCAUAUUAGAUCAUAGGCUAAAGUGCAACCAUAAAGCCUCGUCUACGACUACUAUAUAACUGCAUAUCAGUGCGGGAAUGAAUGUUCAAAGUGACCUUUAGAUCAUUUACAUCUGUCGCCUAAAAUAGAAAAUCUGGAAAAUUAUAACAUGAAAAAAUUUGGACAUUUAACUAACCAAAGGCGAUGGCCUGCAACCGAAAUACGGCGCGUCAGGUAUCACUGCUAACCGAGAAUAAAAAUAAACAUUAAUGACUCUCAAUGAUUAACCGCAUUCACUAAAUCGUAGCGCCUAACUCAACACGUACAUGUGGUAUAAAUGAUAUCAGUGACACACAACUCGUGACCCGUCACGAAAAAAGCUAACUAGUUGACACCUUGCUGGCGCAUAGCUGAGAAGAAGAGCUCGUUCUUACUCAGCUGGCGCUGUCGUCUGCAGACUAUUGCACAGUCUAAAGGCGUGUUACGUUUCAACACAACACAACGACAGCUGACUACCCUUUCGUCGAAUUAAGCCUAUAAGUUUAAAUUCACUGCUGAGAAUUGAAUGUCUCAUAUACAUGUCUUCUCUAUAUUCCUGAGUAAUUUUUAACGAUUACUGCGAGUGAAUUAAUGCUGGCACGUCUUGCUAACACACAUCACAUCUUGUUUCAAAUUUACAAAAUCCAAUUGACUAAAACUUUGGGCCGGUAAUAGGCCAACGUUGUUAAAAAGUUAGUCUCAAAAAGGCAAAACUCCCUAAAACACGCGAAGGGUUGCGUAGGGCCGAGAAUGGAUUAACUGUUGUAAUUCACACAAAUUUACAGGUAUUUCAACGUUAUUAGAAUUGUCUUUUUGUCCUCUUUGGUACAUUUUUGACCAGUUAAGUUUAAGAACUGCAGAUCUUCCGUUUUAACCUGUGCAAGUCUUCCCGGAUUCAUUGACAUAACAGGCAACAACGGCGUGGACUCGGUUAUUUUUAUUCUAGAUAAUAAAUGCAUUGAGCUUUACGACCAGUACUGCCGUUAAGCAUUGCCUUACGCUGUUGUAUCAUAGCGUAAAACGAAGCGUAUAUACGCCCGGUUCUGAAUCUAGGUCACCUCAGGAGUAUACUCACAACUAUAGGAUCAACUGCUUAAGCUAAAAUCGAGCCGCAAGAUUAAAGGAAGAUUGACACUGAUGGAGAAAUAACGAGCUCUGACGCUUCGAAAGCUAUUAACCUAUACUUUCGAAGAUAUUUGCAAAAUAGCAGACCGUAAAUAUACUACUAGCUAGAGUCGCUAGGAAACUAUCCGCAUUGUAUUCAUUGCGUAAAAAAAGUUAACGAGGAUCUAAGACGUCUUCUAUAAUAUGAAUCCGUAGUAAAUCUUUUCGGACGUCUGUACACUCAAAUUGCAAUGACGUCUGUGCAAAGCGGUUGGCAGAACUAUUCGCGAACAGGGUUAACGGGUACCGGAAGGAGCUUAAUGGGAAGGCCGAGAGGCGAAAAGCGCAAGCGAUGAGACUGCGGCGCAAAUCUUUCUUCGAUGCAAGUCUAGUCUUAUUUCCAGAAAUUCGCUCCCGACAGUUAUGUUCUGCAGUUAAACACAUGGCUCGCUAAUGUCUCAGAUGAUCUCCGAGAUUCGACUGCUCAUGAGCUAUAUGUACAUUAGUGCGAAGAAAAUCGGCAACUUUUUUUAAUAUGCACACAUUACUUUCGCUUUAUAGCAUUUUCAGUAUCUAUUUUAUCUAUACACACAAUUCAUGUACUCUAUACACAAAAGGGGUUUUUGUGUCGCUGUAGCAGAAUACGUAGGUUAGGUACGUACUGGUAUAACUAAGUGUUACUCAAUUCGAUUCAGUGAGUUAUCGAAUUUUCUUGCCGAACCGUUUCCAAAAAACAAAGUUUUAAGCCUCCGGAAACACAAUGAGUUGCCAAUAAUUAACAAUCAUAGCAGUCAUUAUGCGUACAUCGACUCGCUUUAACACACUCGCAAUCUCUUACUUAGUACGCACACAAUUAUUGUUAGUAAACCGUAAAUGUUUUUUUCUUAAUACGAAAAGGCUUAAACGAGCGUACGUGACCGCUAUACAAAAUCAUAAGGUACAGGGAUUCAAUGAAACCCUCUUAAAUAAUAAAGUAAAUCAAACACAAAAACUAUGGUUGUAGUGUCUCCUCUUGUGACAAUACAUGUGCUGCUAGCACUAAGAGUGAGAACAGUAUAAGUUCGUUUUAUCAUUCUAUACUGCUUUCUAGUCGUUCUUAAAUUAACCAGUUUGUUUCCCCAUUUUUCUUGCUGUUUUCAGCUAAGAUAGCAAACUCUUAAACUGAUCUUAUUUUUCAUUAUCUCUUGUGAAGAAAUACCUGCUAAAGGAAAAC